rnacentral:misc_RNA from 1 species
UGUAAGGGUUGUAUUUCGAUCCUCCGGUGGCUUCUCCUAUGGAGGUAUCAGAGGUGUUUUCGGUGUAUCUCGUCUUGCAAUGAUAUGACGCAUGAGUGAAGAUUAGUCUAUGUUUCCCAUGCAAGCCCCAUGUAUCUGAUAUCGAAAUGUUUGGGUCUAUCUAUUUCAUUUGUGGGUUUGCCUAGGCGUAUUCAUGUCGGUCGCGACCAUCGUUGGGUUCCUGUGCUUGGUACUGAAUUUUGUAGUUGGAUGGAUUGUUGUUUCCUGUCAAGGUUUUUUUUAUCCCACUCCGCCUCGCGCGGCGAUGGUGGAUAUCGUAUGGGCAUCAAGGUUUUCCUUUCGAGUUGUUGUCCCACUUUGGGCGCUUUCGGUUGAGAUGGCACGUAGAUGCUAAUGGCACUCUCAAGUACAAAGAUUUUCUGGUCAUCGCAUUGGUCUUCGACCUUUGUGAUCGUAACAUAUCGAAGCUUUCUUGCUUCUGAAUGUAUGACCCACGUGCUCGUCUAAGAGCUCACUGUGCAUCUUUGCUUGGUGUUCUUCUUGAGGAGCCAUCGCGGUCUACAAAGAAAUGCUACCUGGUUGAU